UACGUAGGGUGCAAGCGUUGUCCGGAAUUAUUGGGCGUAAAGGGCUCGUAGGCGGCCAACUAAGUCCGACGUGAAAUCCCCAGGCUUAACCUGGGAACUGCGUCGGAUACUGGAUGGCUUGAAUCCGGGAGAGGGAUGCGGAAUUCCAGGUGUAGCGGUGAAAUGCGUAGAUAUCUGGAGGAACACCGGUGGCGAAGGCGGCAUCCUGGACCGGCAUUGACGCUGAGGAGCGAAAGCCAGGGGAGCAAACGGG
rnacentral:rRNA from 1 species